AGUGAAAAAAAGAGGUUGAAGCUAGAAAAUAUAGCACAUCUGAUGAGCGAAUAUGGCGUAUGAGAAUCAGAUUGAGAAACGAUCAUCAGUUUGGAGUUAAGAAGAGAGCAGAAAGGCGCUCAUACUGACCAGGAGUUGUCUGUCAGUUGAGAAGCCUUCCAUUUACUGAAAAGGAUAGAAGGAAGAUUGAAUCAAACCAGCACUAGCAGCUAAGAGCUGUAUCAAUCCUCAACUGUAAGCAAAAGAAAGAUUGAUGAUAUCAUAAGCCUUUGUCAUCGGAAGGGUAGCUUGAGUGGAGAGGACCUCGAAGCAUGUGGUGCAGCCGUCCUUCAUCAGCUUCAGAGGUUGUCACGGAGCACGUCAAAAGGGUGUUUGUUAUCCGAGGAGAUACUCGGCAACAACUGGACUUCUGUGGAUGAAAACAAAUGAAGGGAUUCCACUUCAACCCUGCAGCAAAGUAGUGGACUUGAAUAAAACAUAAGGGGACUGAUGUCAGGUUUUACUGGAUGGAGAGGGUCUUUAUCAAGAUGGUGUGUGUGUGUGUGUGUGUGUGAGUGUGUGAGUGUGUGAGAGUGUGAGUGUGUGAGAGUGUGAGAGUGUGCGUGUGUGUGUGUAUCAAGGGUUUGGUAUUAGCUUGUUAGGUGGAUUACAUUAAGGAUUUAAGCUGCAUGUGGGUUUUAUAUAAGCCCAUAGUGCUGGAUACAUUGAUAAAUUCUUGCUAUCUUUGAACCUGAAAAAUAUGCUGUUUUGGAGCAUUACAUAAAAUACAGGGUGAUUGGGAAGUAACUUUACCACAUCAAUGAAUAGUGUGUUGAUGUGGUAAACCUAUGUUUUUAAUUGCCCUGUAUAUAGAAAGAUUUGGAUUUAUUUUCACUAUAAAUUAAAGAAUACUUUUUAAAGCACCAAGCUUUAAAAUGAGGCCUUAUUUCCCUAUUGUGAAGAUUUGUAAGGCAACCUAAUCUGGAACCUCCAUAGUCUGCAGAAAGUGAAAUACUUUUGAUACUUUCCCUGUGAACUGCCCAAAUUUCUCUUUUAUUAGUGGCUCUUCAGAACGUGAUUUGAGUAGCAAUAUAUUUUAAUACCAGGUACUACACAUAUACAGCUAUGGCCAAAAAUCUAGAAUUAUA